rnacentral:rRNA from 1 species
AGUGAACGCUGGCGGUAGGCCUAACACAUGCAAGUCGAACGGCAGCACAGUAAGAGCUUGCUCUUACGGGUGGCGAGUGGCGGACGGGUGAGGAAUACAUCGGAAUCUACUUUUUCGUGGGGGAUAACGUAGGGAAACUUACGCUAAUACCGCAUACGACCUACGGGUGAAAGCAGGGGAUCUUCGGACCUUGCGCGAUUGAAUGAGCCGAUGUCGGAUUAGCUAGUUGGCGGGGUAAAGGCCCACCAAGUCGACGAUCCGUAGCUGGUCUGAGAGGAUGAUCGGCCACACUGGAACUGAGACACGGUCCAGACUCCUACGGGAGGCAGCAGUGGGGAAUAUUGGACAAUGGGCGAAAGCCUGAUCCAGCCAUACCGCGUGGGUGAAGAAGGCCUUCGGGUUGUAAAGCCCUGUUGUUGGGAAAGAAAAGCAGCAGGUUAAUACCCCGCUGUUCUGACGGUACCCAAAGAAUAAGCACCGGCUAACUUCGUG